UCGAGUUAGGGUCUUCCAUGGCCCGAACCUCCAACCCUUGUGUUUAACUAUACCACGUUGCUUCGGCGGGCCCGCCUGUUCGCAGGCCGCCGGGCCUCUUGAUUGAGGUCUGGUCCGUUGCCCGUCGAUAGCCCAACUUCAAACUCUUGAUAAAAACUGUGUCGACUGAGUAAACAAACAAAAUUAAAACA
rnacentral:misc_RNA from 1 species